GGGUUGUGAGGUUAAGCGACUAAGCGUACACGGUGGAUGCCCUGGCAGUCAGAGGCGAUGAAGGACGUGCUAAUCUGCGAUAAGCGUCGGUAAGGUGAUAUGAACCAUUAUAACCGGCGAUUUCCGAAUGGGGAAACCCAGUGUGAUUCGUCACACUAUCAUUAACUGAAUCCAUAGGUUAAUGAGGCGAACCGGGGGAACUGAAACAUCUAAGUACCCCGAGGAAAAGAAAUCAACCGAGAUUCCCCCAGUAGCGGCGAGCGAACGGGGAGCAGCCCAGAGCCUGAAUCAGUGUGUGUGUUAGUGGAAGCGUCUGGAAAGGCGUGCGAUACAGGGUGACAGCCCCGUACACAAAAAUGCACAUAUUGUGAGCUCGAUGAGUAGGGCGGGACACGUGGUAUCCUGUCUGAAUAUGGGGGGACCAUCCUCCAAGGCUAAAUACUCCUGACUGACCGAUAGUGAACCAGUACCGUGAGGGAAAGGCGAAAAGAACCCCGGCGAGGGGAGUGAAAAAGAACCUGAAACCGUGUACGUACAAGCAGUGGGAGCACGCUUAGGCGUGUGACUGCGUACCUUUUGUAUAAUGGGUCAGCGACUUAUAUUCUGUAGCAAGGUUAACCGAAUAGGGGAGCCGAAGGGAAACCGAGUCUUAACUGGGCGUUAAGUUGCAGGGUAUAGACCCGAAACCCGGUGAUCUAGCCAUGGGCAGGUUGAAGGUUGGGUAACACUAACUGGAGGACCGAACCGACUAAUGUUGAAAAAUUAGCGGAUGACUUGUGGCUGGGGGUGAAAGGCCAAUCAAACCGGGAGAUAGCUGGUUCUCCCCGAAAGCUAUUUAGGU
rnacentral:rRNA from 1 species